rnacentral:rRNA from 1 species
UACGUAGGGGGCAAGCGUUGUCCGGAGUCAUUGGGCGUAAAGAGCGCGUAGGCGGUCCGGUAAGUCCGCUCUGAAAGUCCGGGGCUCAACCCCGGGAGGCGGGCGGAUACUGUCGGGCUAGAGUCCGGAAGAGGCGAGUGGAAUUCCUGGUGUAGCGGUGAAAUGCGUAGAGAUCGGAAAGAACACCAACGGCGAAAGCACUCUGCUGGGCCGACACUGACACUGAGAGACGAAAGCUAGGGGAGCGAGUGGG